rnacentral:rRNA from 1 species
CCUACGGGAGGCAGCAGUAGGGAAUAUUGCUCAAUGGGGGAAACCCUGAAGCAGCAACGCCGCGUGGAGGAUGAAGGUUUUCGGAUUGUAAACUCCUUUUGUUAGAGAAGAUAAUGACGGUAUCUAACGAAUAAGCACCGGCUAACUCCGUGCCAGCAGCCGCGGUAAUACGGAGGGUGCAAGCGGUACUCGGAAUCACUGGGCGUAAAGAGAGCGUAGGCGGGAGAGCAAGUCAGAUGUGAAAUCCUAUGGCUUAACCAUAGAACUGCAUUUGAAACUGUUAUUCUAGAGUAUGGGAGAGGUAGGUGGAAUUCUUGGUGUAGGGGUAAAAUCCGUAGAGAUCAAGAGGAAUACUCAUUGCGAAGGCGACCUGCUAGAACAUAACUGACGCUGAUGCGCGAAAGCGUGGGGAGCAAACAGGAUUAGAUACCCCUGUAGUC